rnacentral:lncRNA from 1 species
UUAAGUCUAGGCAUGUUUCUAUGUAGGCUUCAGAUAUCAUAAUACAAUUGUCAGAUGUUCAACCAUGUUUUACAUCAUUUGACUAAGCUCAUACAAUUUGUCAGAUUCAUUAUUGCCUGUCCAAGAUGUUCUAUUCUUGCAGCAUUCAAAAGUGAUUCUGGAAGAUGAGCAAAUGUGAUUAUAAAAGAGGGUUGUGUUUGUGUCACACUUUAUUAAUUUAAUCUUUUCAAUCUAGUAGAAUAUCAUACCCUAUGUUUGAAGUUGAAGCAGCUGAAUUGUCCUUAUUUUCUUUCUCUUUUAAACUGAAUAAUUAUUGUGAUUCUGAUGAAAAUGUCAAGUUGUAUGAUGGUUGAAGCAGAGUCCAGUUCCUGCACAUAAUGGCAGGUUAGCUUAUCUCAGAUGAUUGCUCAGUACUAGUAAAGUUGGAGGAUUAAAACUAGAGGCAGAGUCCAACUUAUCUCAAAUUUGGUACCAUGUUUCUUUGAGUUUGGAUGACUCCAUCAAGGGAGUGACAGGAACAUUUGCUUCAAUCAAAUCACAGAACCUAAAUUUUCUACGGAUCAGUCUCUUUGCUAGUUUACACAUGAUCACCAGUGGCAAAUGGAAGUGUUGAUGGAACAAGACUUACCAACAACCUGUUGACUUAAAGAAGGACUGAUGUCAGUCCCUCUCAGCUCCAUUGAUUGGCUACUGGAGAAGAAAUUUUCCAUCCGAAGAGAUGUUGAAGGGACCAAAAAUGAAGUCUCAGAAAGAUCACAGGCUUUUUUGACCCUGCAGAUGAAAGGGUUGGCUUGUUUAUUUGGUCUUCGUUUCUGUUGAAGAAACCUUGUCCUCAGCCAAUUGCAAAACAACACAUCCUUUUGAUGUUAUCUUUAUCCAGUAAUAGAUUAUUGCAGUGAAGAAGUUAAUCCAAGGUUAAGUUCAUUUCUUCUCUUCUGAGCCUUCUCUUGUUAUCAUCUUAUCAGGAACAUGUUGUUUGCAAGGGAAAAAAUGGGGUUAAUUUUCAAUUUACUUGAACAACAGACAUGAGUUCUCUUAUAAGUGAAUUGUUUGAUUGAUUUAAGAUCUCCUGUUGUAGGAAACCUGAAGAAGAAGGGGGCUUUGCAGAUGGAACAGACUGCUGAUAAAGAAGGGAAGGAUGCAGGAAUGGGUGCAUCUACAGUCAAAUUUAAUGAUCUUAUUAUAUAGUAUUAAAACUAGACCCACUAGUGGCACAUCUUAUAUUCAUAUUGAUUGGUGAAGGAUCUAAACAUUUCAACCACAACAUGGAUUUCAUUCUAGUAAAUUAACUCAUCAAUUGACAUUCAUCCUCCUUUUCUUAUAUUUGUCAAUGUCAUAUGGUUCUGGGUGUUCUAUUAGUUUCUCUUGCCAUGGACAUCAAGCUAGAAUGGUUGCUUGGAAUGAUGUAUUUUGUUCACUC